CCUACGGGAGGCAGCAGUGGGGGAUAUUGCACAAUGGGGGAAACCCUGAUGCAGCGACGCCGCGUGAGUGAAGAAGUAUUUCGGUAUGUAAAGCUCUAUCAGCAGGGAAGAAAAUGACAGUACCUGACCAAGAAGCCCCGGCUAACUACGUGCCAGCAGCCGCGGUAAUACGUAGGGGGCAAGCGUUAUCCGGAUUUACGGGGUGUAAAGGGAGCGUAGACGGUUAUGUAAGGCUGGAGUGAAAGCCCGGGGCCCAACCCCGGGACUGCUGUGGAAACUGUGUAACGGGAGUACAGGAGGGGCAGGGGGAAUUCCGGGUGUAGCGGGGAAGGGCGGAGAUAUCAGGAGGAA
rnacentral:rRNA from 1 species